rnacentral:rRNA from 1 species
ACGCUCGACACCUAGGCAGCAGUGGGGAAUAUUGCACAAUGGGGGAAACCCUGAUGCAGCGACGCCGCGUGGAGGAAGAAGGUCUUCGGAUUGUAAACUCCUGUUGUUGGGGAAAAAGAGGAUGGUACCCAACAAGGAAGUGACGGCUAACUACGUGCUAGCAGCCGCGGUAAUCUGAGCGGGCUGGCAAGGC